AACGAACGCUGGCGGCAGGCCUAACACAUGCAAGUCGAGCGAAGUCUUCGGACUUAGCGGCAGACGGGUGAGUAACGCGUGGGAAUCUACCCAUCCCUACGGAACAACUCAGGGAAACUUGAGCUAAUACCGUAUACGCCCUUCGGGGGAAAGAUUUAUCGGGGAUGGAUGAGCCCGCGUUGGAUUAGCUAGUUGGUGAGGUAAUGGCUCACCAAGGCGACGAUCCAUAGCUGGUCUGAGAGGAUGAUCAGCCACACUGGGACUGAGACACGGCCCAGACUCCUACGGGAGGCAGCAGUGGGGAAUAUUGGACAAUGGGCGCAAGCCUGAUCCAGCCAUGCCGCGUGAGUGAUGACGGCCCUAGGGUUGUAAAGCUCUUUCAACGGUGAAGAUAAUGACGGUAACCGUAGAAGAAGCCCCGGCUAACUUCGUGCCAGCCGCCGCGGUAACAC
rnacentral:rRNA from 1 species